GUGACAAAAUACAGCAUUACUCUUACCCCAUCUUCUCCUCCUCCUUUUUAGCAAAAUUUGGCCAUCAUCUCUUGAAAUCCAGAGCUUUUCACUCCAUUUUGAUACAAAUCCCAUCUCUCUCACAUGUGGUCUCCUUUUUCGAGCAAGUAGGACAUGCCAACAGAAAAUAGUCAAGCCAAAUCUUAACUCUUUUGUAAAAUAGCAAGGACAAAUCUCUGCCACUCUGAAGCAAGCAAAGGAUUUGGUCAAAUUUCUUCAAAAGAAUCCAAAACUCUUCUCCCAACAAUAGCGAGGUUGCACUCCAUGGCUGUGACAGAUAUGUUGGAACUCAUUCCGAUCGAGGUUCGAAUCUUUUGCACAACGAGAGAGUAGAUUCGAGGCCAACAUCGUCCUAGUUCACUGCCCCACAACAGGUAAAAUCUGACUUUUUUUUUUAUUCUGAUCUUUCCCUCAAGGAAAUUGUAUUUGCUCUUAAAAAAAAACAUAUCUUAGGUUUACGUUUGUUUGUUGUAGUGUAAUGUACAGAUGACAUUUUUUUUAAUAGUAAAGUUAUGUGAAGAAUCCAUGUUUUAAGUCUAGUUGUAUUCAAAUUGGCUGUGUUAAACUUUAUUGACCAAACCAUGCUAUUUGCUAUUGUUUUCUUGGCUAUUCGAAGAAGUGAUGUUGUUCAAAUGUAUUAUAAACCAUGUUCUUUAGGAUUUCAUGUCUUAACAACCAUCUGUUCUAAAAUACUUUUAAAACUAUAUUCUUGAAGUGUAAAAUAAUGGUAGAAAGCAUAGCCUGUGGGUUAUUUUGGUAAUUAUAGAGAUGACGACAGUGGGUGAUAAUAAUAUUCAUGCUUAGUUUAAGUACUUCUCUAGGAUGUUAACUGACCAUGUUCCAAGUUUGUUUAGAAGCACAUGAUUUUGGUUUCUGCUGUCAGUAGUACUAAUAGGAGCUGACCACUGUUUCACUUGCUUAGAUAAUGGAUAUAAAAAGGGUAUAAUCUGUUAAGACAUUUAAGCUGAUCUAUUGUAUCUCUAAAUAACAAAAUACACGACUCUACAUUUUCUUGGUUUUGAUAACUCAAAAUAGCAUGCCAUUAACUUCCUUUUACAAACUUUGUUCAAAGUAGGCGUUGGCUAGUUAUGGGUAUGUGUUAGCUCUCUGUUUCUUUUUCUAUGUAGAUGUGGUAACAAGUUUUCUGCGACCCUCUUUUAACACUUAGAAACCAAAACAAAUGAAUUUAAUAUCUCAUUUUAAAUAGACUCUUGCUAACGAAGUGAAUGCUACUGAUGAGAACUUGCAAGUCUUUUUUGUUGUUGACAUCCUUCGGUUAAUAAUUUAAAAGUGGCCUUAGAAACUGUAGAAUAUAUCCUUGUCCGCCCAUUUAAUUUAGACAUUUUAGGAUAAUACUCAAUAGAAGAUAAAUUUACAUCUUAACUUUAAAUAUUACUUAAGAAGCUAUUUCCUGUUAGUAGGAGGUGAUUCUUUAUAUUUUGGUCACCAUGGCAUGUGAGCAUAUUUGUUUUAAUACAAGUUGGAAAGAUCUAUAUUUCCUCUCUGACUUUCAUGUCUGUUAAGAAGCAUAUGUUCUUCUCUAACUGUUUUAUUCUUUCUUUGUUUUUCGCAUGAACACCGGAGCCCGAAGAGUUUCACUUUGAGACUCUACGAUGCCGUAGCACCUCAUGGAAUCAACACUACAUAUUCUAACCUCAAAUUCUCUAGGAGAAACUAUAAAGAACCAUCAUUUUCGGAGUUCCUGAAGGAGCUGCCCGCUAUUCCAUCUUAAUCUUUACUUUGCCAAUUCCUAACUUUUAUUAACAAUCUGCUUUUCUUUUGUAUGAAUGUAGCUUGUCUUUGCUUGUUAUGUUAAGAUUAGUAUGACCAAGUUUUCAUUUA